rnacentral:lncRNA from 1 species
UAUGAACCAUAUGAAUAGGACUGAAGAUCUAUUUUUCUGUCAUGUUUGUGAGUUUUCUGUUAUUUCCUCUCAGUGUGAAUAGGACUGAAGAAGAUGGACAUAGCCCUUUAGGUAAUUUCACUUUUUUUGAACAGCAAACCAUAGAACAAUAGUUCUAUGGUAUAUUUUCAUUAAAAACAGUAUGUUACAAAGGGAAAGGAGAAAAUAGAAACAAAAGAAAAAAGAUCUAAGCUAAUGGGGCAAUGCCCUUAUCCAAUUUAUGUUUUGGGCAACAUGAGAAUCAUUUAAAAAUUGAUCUGGCAGCCUGCUUGAACAAGGUGGAAUGCUCGUCUUUGAUCUUGUGUUGAAGUAGUUGAAGAUCCUUUUUUAAUUCAAGCCUCUAAUUUGAGACUGUCGGCUGGAUGUUUCUGAAGACCUUGCCAUCUCACUUUGUCCUGGAUUAAUAAAAGAUUACAAAUUUAUUUGUCUAAAUAGGACAGGUUAUUUACGAAGGUAUACCAUUUCUAUUGACUGGAUAAUUUACAUGUUGGCAAGGACUUAUUGGUGCAGCCUGGUCAUAAUUGCUCGGCCAAUUUCCCAACCCAAAUCCAGAACCACUUCAUCUUUCGAUCUUUACAUGAUUGAUGAAAUGCCUUAGACACUAAGAUCUGCACUUUGUUUUUCUCCGUUCUCAUACUCACAGAUUAACCGAUGGCUGUAAGACCUAGAGAAGCAUUAGGAACUGGUCUGUAGUGUCUUCCAGUGUAUGCGUACACACAAUUCACUUUCCUUUUCUUUUUGCCCUUUGUAUAGAUGAUGUGGUUGAGUUACGAAGCCUCUUAUUGCAGUGUUGUCUGCAAGGCCGAAGGGAAGUUAUUAAUGCAUUUGAGCUGCUCUAUCUGAUUGCUCAUCUCCUGAACCUGUUUUAGUUGAUAUAAAAGUGUUCUCUAUUUCAGAAAGCCAGAACACGAGAUUGUGCCCCCUCUUGCUCCAGGUGCAUGUUCCUACCCUCCUUUCCCCUCUAAUUUGACUUGCUUUACCUUGUGUGAAGUUUUAUACUUUCAACUUUACAAAGCUAUAUCAAGUUUGCUUUCAACUGUACUUGGCUACACCUGUAACAUGAUGCACUUCUCUUUCAGUUUAUUGAAUACAUUUUGAAGAAGUGAAUGAUGUAUCUGGUACUGUCGUUUGACUCAUUUAACAGUCCGUCAAUUUGCUCACAAACCUCCUCAUGUACAGCAUACAAUGAGUAUUCUGUCACAUAUCACACAACAUCUUGAUCUUUCAGCUAAUAAUAUGCUGUAAUUUUUUAGGCUAUCACUAUUUGCAGCUUUUGGGUUCCUUCUAUGUGUUGGGAGAUAAUUCUCUUAAUAAACUUUAGCUUUCUGCAAUGCUAGGCCGGACAAAUUCAGUACUGAAAAUCUAGCCUGUUCUUUCCACUCUGUAACAACUUCUAUGCUUGCGCCACCAUGAUAUCACUACAACAUUUCCCUGGAAAAUUUUAUUAGUUGCAUGUAAACUGAAUUGAUUUACCAGUAAAAACCUGGACAACUCAUUUCAGUCGCUAACAACAAUUGUGGCAUUACCAGGAUAUGUCAUGUAUGUGCUCUGAAUCGUAGUAGGAUGCAAAAAGUACAAUAAGAGAUAGAAUGUAUGCACUAUGGGCUAGCAGUAACAUUUUAUUGACUUGUGCAGUAUUUGUUACUAUCUAUUUCUGUAGGCUAUUCCUCAUGUUGCAACCUUUUCCCAUAGAAUUGAAAGGAAGAUGGAAGAAAUUGCAGGAGGUAUACUUUGUGUUCCAUUAGUCUUACUGUCAGAUUUCCAUGUUCAGUUAUUCACACUAUAUUAUUGCUCAAUAUCUAUAGCUUGCUAUUAUUUGAGCAGGAAUGGUGUUUCCAGCAUGACAUUCAAAACCAGUCAAGACUAUAAAGGGGCUGUGAAGGACGAAAUGCUAUGGAUCCAGAGUGGGAGGGGAGAGUUACCAACAAUGUAUCAAGGAUAAACCGUGACAUGGAUUCCUAAGUUCCAACUUACAUAGCAAAAUUAUAUAGGGAGAAUGCCUACAUUUUGAAAACUCUAUUACAUAGUUUGAAGGUAUGUUUCUUUCAAUUUUCAUUAUUAAAAGGAUCCUUAUUAUUGCUAAUUUGUCAAGCAUCUAUUGUCUAAUAACUCUUUGCUUCAAAUGAGACCUGUGGUGCAAGGGGUAAAUUU